CGUUAAUAAAAUCCUGAAACACGGCCAGAGCACUGUAUAAUCCAAAGGUCAUGACAAGGUUUUCAUAGUGCCCACUCCUAGUGUUAAAUGCCGUCUUCCAUUCGUGAUACUCCCUAAUCCUCACCACAUUGUAUGCACUCCUAAGGUCAAGUUUGGUAAAGAUCUUAGCACCCUGGAGUCUAUCAAACAUUUCGGAUAUAAGGGUAAUGGGAUAGGCAUUCUUUAUAGUAAUC